GAUAUCAACUGAAAAAGUCAUCAACAACAAAGUUGAAUAACUCAUCAAGAUCUAAAACUUUUAUUGUGGUCAUUUCUUCAUACGACAAAGUGAUAGUAACAUUGUUCACAAAAUUGACAUAUCUCUUAUCUAGUUUUAUAAACUAUAACACAUAUAUGUAAAAUUUAUGAAUAAUAUUACUAACAUUUCGUCAGAUGAAGAAAUAACAAAAAUAAAAGUUUUAGAUCUUGAUGAGUUAUUCAACUUUGUUGUUGAUGACUUUUUCAAUUGAAAUC
rfam:Oryza sativa Japonica Group DNA, chromosome 4, cultivar: Nipponbare, complete sequence.